rnacentral:rRNA from 1 species
GAGUUUGAUCCUGGCUCAGGAUGAACGCUGGCGGCGUGCUUAACACAUGCAAGUCGAGCGAUGAAGUUUCCUUCGGGAAACGGAUUAGCGGCGGACGGGUGAGUAACACGUGGGUAACCUGCCUCAUAGAGUGGAAUAGCCUUCCGAAAGGAAGAUUAAUACCGCAUAAUGUUGAAAGAUGGCAUCAUCAUUUAACCAAAGGAGCAAUCCGCUAUGAGAUGGACCCGCGGCGCAUUAGCUAGUUGGUGGGGUAACGGCCUACCAAGGCGACGAUGCGUAGCCGACCUGAGAGGGUGAUCGGCCACAUUGGGACUGAGACACGGCCCAGACUCCUACGGGAGGCAGCAGUGGGGAAUAUUGCACAAUGGGGGAAACCCUGAUGCAGCAACGCCGCGUGAGUGAUGAAGGUUUUCGGAUCGUAAAGCUCUGUCUUUGGGGAAGAUAAUGACGGUACCCAAGGAGGAAGCCACGGCUAACUACGUGCCAGCAGCCGCGGUAAUACGUAGGUGGCGAGCGUUAUCCGGAUUUACUGGGCGUAAAGGGAGCGUAGGCGGAUGAUUAAGUGGGAUGUGAAAUACCCGGGCUCAACUUGGGUGCUGCAUUCCAAACUGGUUAUCUAGAGUGCAGGAGAGGAGAGUGGAAUUCCUAGUGUAGCGGUGAAAUGCGUAGA